rnacentral:piRNA from 1 species
UGACACCCUACAUCCACCACCAGAUUCCAGC